UCCCUGGUGGACUAGUGGCUAGCGUGCGGCACUCUCACUGCUGUGGCCCGGGUUCAAUUCACGGUCAGUAAA